AAAUGUCAAUUGAUAAUAUGCUAGAAGUAUGUAAAUAAGAUCAUCAAAUAGGUAAAAAUAGAUCUUAGAAAGAGAAAUUGACCUUAAUUUUGUUUUAUCAAGUGUUUUUUGUAUUGAUUGACAUGGUAUAUACAGUACAUGUAGUCUUUAACUUGCAACGGAGUUUGGUUCCAAGAUUUUCAAACCCUGCUAUCAUAAGUCAGAAAUGCCCAAAAUUUAUGAAUUUCUCACUAUUAAUGUUAGUACACUAUAUUAUCUUAAUAAGCAUAAAGAACACAAAACUACAAGAAUCAGACACACAAAAAAGAUUGCUUUCCAUAUAUUAGACCAUUGGAUCUGGGAAUUUAACCCAGAA
rnacentral:lncRNA from 1 species